UUGAACAGCCAGUUGAGCUUCACUAGCGUGAAUUCUCUUGGAAAGCAAACUUUUCCUUCGCAUCCUCCCCUCUGGGAACGUUUCAAAACAUCUCCCUGAUUGCAAAAUUCCCACUUGUCACGGACAUGCCCCAUUGCUUUGAAUCCAGGCUGGGCUGGAUGGGAACCCAUGGUGCAGGUGAAGGGUCUGGACUCGAAGCCGUAGAUGAGGCAGCGGUGGUAAUUGCUGCUCUAUGAGCAGCCACGCCGGGAGAAGCUUCAGAGAGCCAAGGGAUCUUUAGAGAAGGCGUAACAGGAGCUGAAUGCAAAUUAGAAACGUUCAGAUACAAAUUAAACGGCAAGGGUAAUUAAGCCCUGGCUCAGCUAACUGAAGACGGCGGUAAAUUCUUCACUACUUCAAGGUGCUGGAUCGAGACGCUGAAUUCUUCUAAAAGUUGUUCUUGUGGGGAGUUCAUUAGGCUCAGAGAAGCACUCAGCAGAGGAGAACCUUUGGGAAGUCAGACUAGAAGCUUUUGUUUCCUUCUGGCCUUAGAAUUGUGACUUUCUGAUUUCUUUGUUGCAUAUUUAUGGCACAGAAACAUCCAAAGGCCACAGCUGGGUCAGCAGGAAUGGUGUGAAUGUGAACUGUAGAUUCCAUAAUCACAUUUUCAACUGGAAUUGAUCCUUAGACAGUGAAGAAAUUUGUAAAUAUUUUCAAACAAGGAAUAUGGUGGGGACUUUUUCAAUCUGUUUGCAGGCAAUUUGCAAACAGAAAGCCUUGGCAACAUUGGCUGAAUACGUAAUUAAUGCCGUGAUUUAUGGGCCCAGCUGUAAUUUCUCCCAACCUCCCUACUCCACGCCAAACGAUCCAGGAGAGGAACGACUCAUUUACAUCAUGCUUCAUUCUGCUGCUCCAUCUAAUCCUGAGGUCUCAGAUACCCACGUGUCAGAAGGACAUCUCCUUUAUCCAGGGGAAAUAAAGAGGGUGGAUUAUCUGCUUGCUUGAUGGACAUGAGCAGGGAGGAUGGCUUAUUAUCCUGGUGGGACAUGCAGUGGAUAAUGCUUUAUGCCUUUGAGUUGCAGAUAUUUCAAAUUGAUCCAUACACCAUGUGCAUGGAGCAGGUAUUCCCAGCACGGUGUGAACAUGGGGGGUGUAGCCCCAUCUCUCCUGCCCUGGCUCUGUCCCUGAGAAAUCUGCUACCAACCCUUGCUGUGUUGCUGCUGUCCCAUUUCAUCAUUUAUUGGCAAUGCUGAGUCAUGGCCUGAAGCAGUGAUGGAGCACUUGGGGGGAAGGCAGGGCCAGCCCAGGGCAGCUCAGGUGCAUGCAAUGUGCUGAGUGAUGGAAGGGCUGCAGCCAGGAUCCACCCCUUCCCAGCCCUCAUUUAAGGGUUGGUGGGGGAGGCAAGUGGAUCUUGUUGGAGAUCUCUGCUUAUCUGAGGCCUUCCAAAGUGGAAAAGACACAUUUUUGAAGAAAGGAAAGGAGGGACAAAGGAGGUGAGCCUUUAUUUUCCUGAGCCACUUCUUCCUGAAGGAGCUGCUGUGUGAUUGACAGAAAGAAAUCCGGUCUUGCUAUUGAGACAUCAGAAAGUGACACCAAACCUGUGAUUUACUCCGUGCAUGGGUGCGGAGCCCCAGCCGAUGGGAUGGAGGAGACAUCAUCCUGAGAAAUAACCUGGAAAACAAAUCCCAUCAAAGCAUCAUCUUUGCUCUGGAGUUAUGGCACUGUGACCUUAGAAGCAGCACUUCAGUCCUCUGUGCCUCAGUUUCCCUCUUAGAAAAUGCAGAUUUUCUUUUUUUUUUUUUUUAAUUUAAAGUAAGAAGCUCAUUAUUUGAGAAUGCAGAGGGAUGGGAAGCUGUUGGGUGGGUGGCGUGGGCAGGGGGGGAUGAUGGCUCAGAGCUUAGCUGGUGGGCAGCCUUCCCCCUCCCCUGCCCUCACUGCCUGCCGUGUGUUCGCUGUGCGUUCAAUUAUGCAUCGUUCUCUGCUCUCAUUAGAGACCUUCAAACAGCCUUGAAAAUAUCCUCAUUCAGGGCUUAUUUUGUCCUCGUUAAAUUUUUAUCUGAGCUAAAGGAGGAGGAUAAUGGCAUUAAACCCUACGCAGAGGAACACGAAUGAGCUCCGGGAAAGACCUCAGGAGGUGAUGCUGUGCAACCCCCCUCCCCCCUCCUCAGCCCAUCCUGGGCAGGGAAUAGGAUUUUUGGAUGUCAAACCACUCUGCUUUUCAGACAAGCAGUGGGGAAGCUCUUUGGAUUGAAAGGAUGGAUGGGAUGCAACCUGCUUGCAGAUGGGUUUUACCCAUUUUCAAGCCUCCAUGCUGGCUGCCUCCUGCCUGGCUUUGAGAAAUCCCCUUCCUGCAAGCACUGCUUAUUUUGCCCAUCCUAUGGCCAGCUCUCCGGUGCCCACUGCUCCUCCUCCACCUUCCCACAAGUGCCGCCUUUGGCUGAAAGCAAAGGAGAAGCAUCUUGAAAGGACCAAACUGAGAGAGAUUAAAACACUUGUGGAGGACUUCUCUGAAUAUAUCUAUUAUUUACUUUUUCUAUUAUCCCCGUCACCUUUGAUCCUUCUUUCCCUCCAGGAUGCUCUUUUUGCUUUAACUCUCUGUAUUUUGGGGAUCAAGAGAACCAAGGAGUGGUGAUGAGUGAUCUGGGGCCAUUUGGAUGCUCUCUGCUGACCCUUCCUUCCAUCCAUCCAUGCCCUGGGGGUGCUCAUCUCAUACCUUCUCCUUGCACUCCUUAUCACCUCUUCUCCUUAAAAAGAAGGGGAGACUUGAGGCUCCCUCUCACUAAAUUCAUAACUACUUGCCUGCAAUUUCCCCCAAGGGAAAGUUAUUAGCAGCAACUUAGUGUCUGAUGGAUGGCUGUGUUGCUGAGGCUCUGUUUUGCAUCAAGGCUUCUAAAGAUACAUCAUUUAAAUUCACGUGGGCAGGCAUGUAUUAAGUAAAUGCCAAGAAAAAUAUUUAUUACAGUAGGGAAAUUGCACUGCAGCUUUGUCCGUGUAUGUAUUUCUAGUGAUUUAAUAAUCAAUUAUUGCUUCGGCAGUCAAUACUCUCCUUAUUAAACCUUUGCAGGAUGUCAUCUUGAGAACUUUUGCUUAAAAAGGUGAUUUUAAUUUUCUUCUGUAAUUGUUCUUUUGUUUCACUGUCGGCCACCCAUGAGCCUCAUAUCCCUCUUCAGCGUCCCCAAGGCAGACUGUGGUGAGCAGCCUCCUGGCUGUGUGUUAAUGGAGCCGCCAAUUGAUUUUUAUUUCUGGUUGUAUUCACUUUUUUCCAAUCUCCCCCCAACUUUUUUCUCUCUUAAGAGAUAAUUCAUUUCAUGAUUGCAAAUAGAUCACUGUAAACUCAGCGUAAUGGAGCAGUAAUUACCUAAGAAGUGAUGGAUUUGGGUAGAUGCUGUUGGCUAAAUGCUCAGAGCUGUGCUGUAUGAAGCUGUGAGUCUGGAGCUGAUGAAGGAAAUGCUUUCCAAUGGAGUAGAAGUGUCUCCCCGUGGUUCCAUGCUUUGUUCCCAUUGGGAAUGCAAUCUCCAGAGCACUGCCCUAGGAUGUCUCAAUCACCUAUCAACCCAGCAGGUCCAGGACAUCUCUCACCCUGCUUCCUUCUCCCCAGGUGUAGAGGGGCCACUGUGCAAUGUUGGGCAUCGCUUUGUAAGUGGGCACGGUAUAAAAGUGGUGUUUUGAAGCAGUCUGCAGGUUUUUGGUGUGAUGGAACUCGUGUUGUUGCAGGGUUGCAGCCGUGCUCAGCAUCCCUCUGUGCUUCGGAGGGGAGGAAAGCAGGCAUGCAGCCUCCAAAAUCUGGGGGAAGCAGGGUCAGGACACCUGGAGAGAGACUGCUUUUAGGACGAGCCACUAGUGGGAGCCGUGGUCACACACAACCCCGAGCAGAUCACGGCUCUGUGCCCCCACCCGGAGCAGAACGGGCCCCGCAUCGCCGUGCAGCUCCCACACACCUGAGGGCUUUCCCAGUGCCUUCUCCAUCGCUCCCAGCAGCCGUCCUCUUGCCUUCGUGCAAAGCUUUGCUCCAAAGGGAGGAGCGUGGCCAUGGUGGGCAGGUGAAGAGGCUCCCUUUGCCCUUUCCACCACGAGGAGGCUGCCCAUGGGCCCGGUGGGGGUCACUGGACUUUGCACAGAUCUUUCUGCUCCUGCCUUGGUGUCUGGGAAGCAGGAGGAGAUGCUGGGAGCAGAUAUCUGCUCACCUGUAGGAUGGAGAUCAAACCACUGCUCCGUGGAUGUGGGUGAGCACAACUGCUUUUAUCCUUGUGCGCUAAAAUGUGUCUCCCUAUUGCAUCUCCGCAUAAGGACCAUCUCAGUGCACAAACGGACUGAUUCUCAUGGGUGAAUUUUGGGUUUUUUUGGUUCUGUUGCUGCCCCACAAUGCAUCUUCCUGGUGCAGGGAGGUGGCCACAGCCAUCUACACGCAUGGGGAGCAGGAGGGGAAGAAGCACAUGCAGAGCCUGGGGUGCUGCUGGCCCACGCUGCCCAGAGCAGAGCUGAAUGAGCAGCUUUGUGUUGUUUGUUCAGACCUUAGUGACUGUGCUUGAGGAGGAAAUGAUAUCUUAUUAGGGACUCUAAUAAUGUUCCAGAUCAUCCUCCGUACAGAGCUGAUCUGAAGGAUUAGCAAAACAAAUGAAGUAAUGACUUUUCUGUGAAAUUAAAAUUUUGUAAGAUAAUCCAAAGAGGAAAUAGAAAUUUUAUUUCAAUUAUGCAUUAAACUUUCUCAGCUCAUUUUGGGUCAGGAUUUUGACUCCAGGGGAGAUUUCUGGUGGCGCUGGGCCAGAAUGUGCUCAGACCCUGCGCUGAUGCACUCCCAUGCACUGCCUGGUGUGCUUGCAAAUGUGCAUGACAACCUUUCUCAAUUAAAAUCCCAACUGCAAAAUGAGACUGCGCUGCAUGGGUGAGAGACUUCAUCAUAUGCAGUAAUUGCAUGAAUAAUUGAAACACCUUGUGUUGCUUGUGACUGAGGACCCCUGGAUGGACAAGCAGUUAGCAGAUGGGCUAUUCUUUUCCCUUACUGCAUCAGAGACCAAAGCAGCACUGGGAAGGUCUUGGGCUGAAAUCAGGACAGGUUGGAUAUUUCUGAUUUGGUUUUGGAGGGUUCCAGUGAAGCAGCUGAGCUCCUUACUACCAAAUCCCCGGGCAACUCCAUUCCAGACUGCUCCAUACAGGGAAUGGUGCUCUCAAAAUGAGGAUGAAGGGAGACUUCAGAGCCUCCCUGAAGGGACAAGUGUGAUGAAAGGACACUUGCUGCCACCAAAAGGUUCACUGCCACCAAAGGAGUUGAGCAGAGAGGAUCCUUCAGCAGAGAUGUUGUUUCACAUCCUAGCAGCUCUGCAGAUCUGCUAAUGCCCAGGAAGGAACAAAAGAAAUAAAUAAAAAUUGGGUCAUUCAUUAACAGCCAUAAUCUACAGCGUGUCAUAUCUGGUGAGGCACCACAGUGCAUAUCGUGUGCCUCAAAAGCAAGGAAAUGAGAGGUUAACGCAUUUCCUCGGUUUUGUGCACUGUCUGCAGACCGCACUCUUAUCUUAAUUGAUACAGCAUCAGCCUCUCUAUGCACACCUCUGACAACAAGCCUGGCUUUUUGUCCUCUCCAGUUAUUAAAGUCUCCACUCUGGGUGAUAGAAAUAGCAGACGGGUCUGUUAAGGAUGCCGCUCUCCUGGUGCAAAGUCCAAGGACUCAUUCCUCCUGUCUUCUUCCAGAGGAGGCAUUAAGUUCUUUUUGCAGUGUUUGCAUGCUUUGCAUUUGUGCUCAGUAACAGCAGGAAGGAUCCAGCAGUGUCCACGCUCCAUGUGUUGAGGAAGAAAUCACAAAAUCAGCAAGAUUCACAUCCCAGAUGGGAGCACGGCCUGGAAAUCUGGAAGCAGGUGUCUGUGGACAGGUAGCAUAUGAAGUUCACAGAAUGUUUCUACGAAUCAUCUUGGUUUCAGCAUUUAUUUUUCCCCGGAGAAAAAGCAACAGCCGGUGUGGCUGGAACACUGCCCAGAGUGCUGAGCGAGGCUCACAGCUCACUGCAGUACCAAAGGGCACUUUCUAGGUUCGAGGUUGACAGCUGUGUCACCUGCAUGGCAAUGAAACAGGGCUUGCAGAUGAUGGAAGUGUUGGUCACAGCUGGGAGUCACCAUGUGGCAGACAGCACAUGUUGAACAUCCUCAUCCUGAAUGCUAAGGGGAGGAGAAUGGGGUGAUGGCUUGUUCAGCAUCUGCAUCCUGCAAGCAGCUUCACAGCCAGGCAGGCCCAGGCAAAGCAGAAUAUAUGCAGGAAUAAAGCAUAGGCUGUAGAAAAUAAAAGAUAGGAUCUAUCAGAAGCACUGAGGGCAGACCUGAGGAAUGGCAUUAGCAGCACUUACCGGAACUACAUCCCCAAAGAGCCUCAUUACUCCUCAACACGCCAUGUCAGCACCCAGCAGGGAAAAUAGUCCAUGCUGAUGCCUUCAGACUUCAGCAGAGCCAUAAUGGGAAACAAAUUGUGUGAGACUCCCAGGCAAUGGAGUGAUCGCAAUCUGCAUUUGUGCUCUCAAGCGAGCCAGGCUUCAGCCAGGAAUGUGAUAAAUACCAGCAGAAUUAAUUCUCCGAGUGCAGCACUGCUCUGAUGAUGGACAGGACUGACAGCUGUCAAUGCAGCUGACAACUUGACACUGACUUUUGGAGCAAAUUCACCUUUUUGGUGUCAAAUGGUGUGUUUACCAGUCAGGGCUCCAGUUGGUUUGGGUCUGUGGACAAGUUGAGCUCAUUAGCACGAGCUGCUUCAUUGGACAAGGAGAUAUAAAAAUCAGUGCUGGGGAUUCCUGCAGCUCCCCAGGAAAGGAUGUGAUUGCCUAUAGCUACAUGCUGGAUGGAAGGUGUGCUUUGCUGGUCCUGGUUGUCACCAGGCGCAAUCCACAGACCAGCUUCUUCCAUCACAAAACCAUUUUUAAAAGUCCCCCUUGUAAUAAAUAUCUCUGACUGCUUUGGAGGAUGUUUUUAUUCACCUUCUUCCUCUCAGGCCAUUUUCGGUUCCUGUUUCUAGGCUUAUUCCUGCCAAAGUCACCAACCUCGCUUUUCAAUAAAAGCUGGGACUCCGAUGCAACUCUAGGAUCAAAGGAUUUAAGGCAAAACCCACCAAUUUUCACAUUACUUCAACCCCAAGAACUGGCAGUGCUUUAGCUCGGGGCUUUUCCUACCUGAAGUUGAUUAAAGAGAAAACUCGAGAGCUGGAAAUGAGCCGUAAGAAAUACCAGCACGAACUUUUAGUGGGAGGAAGAGGGGAAAGUGGCAAUGAACUGCUGUUAUGCACAUCUCGUAGUCCCUGAACGCGCUGCCGAGUGUGGUCGUACAUCCAUACACAGGCAGCCAGGAGUCCAUUUUCUGGACAGGAAGGUGGAUAUAUGGACCAUUAUAUGUCCCCAGCUGGAGAAGAGUGGCUUUAACUUCAUGCACAGACUGCUUUUAUGAAACUCUCAGCGUUGCUGCAGGCUUUGGGCAUUUCCUCCUUUAUUAUCUUGGCUUUGUAGGAUGCUAUCAG
ensembl:lncRNA